rnacentral:rRNA from 1 species
CCUACGGGAGGCAGCAGUGGGGAAUAUUGGACAAUGGGGGGAACCCUGAUCCAGCGACGCCGCGUGAGUGAAGAAGUAUUUCGGUAUGUAAAGCUCUAUCAGCAGGGAAGAAAAUGACGGUACCUGACUAAGAAGCCCCGGCUAACUACGUGCCAGCAGCCGCGGUAAUACGUAGGGGGCAAGCGUUAUCCGGAUUUACUGGGUGUAAAGGGAGAGUAGACGGCAGCACAAGUCUGGAGUGAAAUGCCGGGGCUUAACCCCGGAACUGCUUUGGAAACUGUGCAGCUAGAGUGCAGGAGAGGUAAGUGGAAUGCCUAGUGUAGCGGUGAAAUGCGUAGAGAUUAGGAGGAACACCAGUGGCGAAGGCGGCUUACUGGACUGUAACUGACGUUGAGGCUCGAAAGCGUGGGGAGCAAACAGGAUUAGAUACCCGAGUAGUC